rnacentral:tRNA from 1 species
GGGCGCGUAGCUCAGUUGGUUAGAGCAUCUGACUUUUAAUCAGAGGGUCGAAGGUUCGAAUCCUUCCGCGCUCA